GCUUCCACCUGGCAGGCAGGGAGGACACCACAGAGUGUGCAUACAGAGGGCCUAAGGGCCAGCUAUCCCAGGCUAAGUCAGGAAAACACAAAGAGCCCGAGCACACAGCACCUGGCAGGGAUACUCCCAGGAUGCUCCCAGGAGAGCAGAUCCUCCCCGAGCCCAUCACCCCUCACGGCCCAAACCCCCUCUGCCAGCCCGGGGGUGAGAGUCCGCGUUCCGGUGACCUUAGAAGGAAGCGACCUUCCCUCCUCCCGCCAAGCAGACGAGAAGGCGACCAAGAACUCCAAAUGCCUCCAAAACAAGCUAAACUCGUAAAGACCCAGCUGAGUGGACCCUGCAGAACAUCUCACCCUUUUCAAGCACCCACUGAUGUUUGCUGUCUCCAGAAUUGCCCACAAUCAUGAGUGGGCCCUGGCUAUGGCUGUCUGGGUUCCAGCACAGGUGGAGGUCACCGUUUCCAGCCUUCGUCCCUUCAGCUCAGGGCAUCCCUCAAAGGUGUGCUGGAACAACAGAAUGCUUCAAGGUUUGGGGGGGUGUGUGUUCUGCAAUGCCAUGCUCAUUUGUCCGUUGCUCAUUAAAUAAAUGAAUCAGUA